GACGAACGCUGGCGGCGUGCCUAAUACAUGCAAGUCGAGCGGAUCUUGCCCUUCGGGGGAAGAUUAGCGGCGGACGGGUGAGUAACACGUAGGCAACCUGCCCGUAAGACAGGGAUAACUACCGGAAACGGUAGCUAAUACCGGAUAAAUUACUUUGCCGCAUGGUGAGGUAAUGAAAGGCGGUUCUGAAUUUAUUCAGGGCUGUCACUUACGGAUGGGCCUGCGGCGCAUUAGCUAGUAGGUAGGGUAAGGGCCUACCUAGGCGACGAUGCGUAGCCGACCUGAGAGGGUGAACGGCCACACUGGGACUGAGACACGGCCCAGACUCCUACGGGAGGCAGCAGUAGGGAAUCUUCCGCAAUGAACGAAAGUCUGACGGAGCAACGCCGCGUGAGUGAAGAAGGUUUUCGUAUCGUAAAGCUCUGUUGCCAGGGAAGAACGUCCUGUAGAGUAACUGCUACAGGAGUGACGGUACCUGAGAAGAAAGCCCCGGCUAACUACGUGCCAGCAGCCGCGGUAACAC
rnacentral:rRNA from 1 species